rnacentral:rRNA from 1 species
GGAGCUUGCUCUGUGGGAUCAGUGGCGAACGGGUGAGUAACACGUGAGCAACCUGCCCCUGACUCUGGGAUAAGCGCUGGAAACGGCGUCUAAUACUGGAUAUGUGACGUGACCGCAUGGUCUGCGUCUGGAAAGAAUUUCGGUUGGGGAUGGGCUCGCGGCCUAUCAGCUUGUUGGUGAGGUAAUGGCUCACCAAGGCGUCGACGGGUAGCCGGCCUGAGAGGGUGACCGGCCACACUGGGACUGAGACACGGCCCAGACUCCUACGGGAGGCAGCAGUGGGGAAUAUUGCACAAUGGGCGCAAGCCUGAUGCAGCAACGCCGCGUGAGGGACGACGGCCUUCGGGUUGUAAACCUCUUUUAGCAGGGAAGAAGCGAAAGUGACGGUACCUGCAGAAAAAGCGCCGGCUAACUACGUGCCAGCAGCCGCGGUAAUACGUAGGGCGCAAGCGUUAUCCGGAAUUAUUGGGCGUAAAGAGCUCGUAGGCGGUUUGUCGCGUCUGCUGUGAAAUCCGGAGGCUCAACCUCCGGCCUGCAG